rnacentral:rRNA from 1 species
CCUACGGGAGGCAGCAGUGGGGAAUAUUGGACAAUGGGGGGAACCCUGAUCCAGCCAUGCCGCGUGUGUGAAGAAGGCCCUCGGGUUGUAAAGCACUUUCAGUGAGGAAGAACGCCUGGUGGUUAAUACCCAUCAGGAAAGACAUCACUCACAGAAGAAGCACCGGCUAACUCCGUGCCAGCAGCCGCGGUAAUACGGAGGGUGCGAGCGUUAAUCGGAAUUACUGGGCGUAAAGCGCGCGUAGGUGGCUUGAUAAGCCGGUUGUGAAAGCCCCGGGCUCAACCUGGGAACGGCAUCCGGAACUGUCAAGCUAGAGUGCAGGAGAGGAAGGUAGAAUUCCCGGUGUAGCGGUGAAAUGCGUAGAGAUCGGGAGGAAUACCAGUGGCGAAGGCGGCCUUCUGGACUAACACUGACACUGAGGUGCGAAAGCGUGGGUAGCAAACAGGAUUAGAUACCCGAGUAGUC